rnacentral:rRNA from 1 species
UACGGAGGAUGCAAGCGUUAUCCGGAAUGAUUGGGCGUAAAGCGUCCGCAGGCGGCUGUGUAAGUCUGCUGUCAAAGAGCGAAGCUCAACUUCGUAAAGGCAGUGGAAACUACACGGCUAGAGUGCGUUCGGGGCAGAGGGAAUUCCUGGUGUAGCGGUGAAAUGCGUAGAUAUCAGGAAGAACACCGGUGGCGAAAGCGCUCUGCUAGGCCGCAACUGACACUGAGGGACGAAAGCUAGGGGAGCGAAUGGG